rnacentral:lncRNA from 1 species
AUCCUGUUUAAGGUGUACUAUUGUAGAAAUACCACAAAAAUACAAAUAUAUCUUUAAUAUGCUUCUAGUUGGUCUUAACUUGACCGUUGGAAUGAGAUUAGCCAAUUCCUCCCAGGUUUGAAUUGGCCGAACUCACUUGCCAAUUAUCAUUUGACAUGCAAUCUAAAGGGAGAAAAUUCUCAUAGUUGACGUGAAUAUCCAUAGCCAUUUUUGAAAUAAAUGUAUAACUGACGAAAAGGACAAUCCCAAUUUAGUUUUUCAAAAUGAAUGUUUCAAAUUUCAUGAUUUCUUCUUGAAAGAUUUAAAUAAGCAUUGAGGGAACGAGAAGCUGCUGUUACAUAGACAUAGAAUCCAUAUCUCUUUCUUUCAGUAGCCAUUUCAAAUCCACUCAGUCAAGGAUCCUAAAUUUCACUACAUCUGCCCUGAAGCUAACAUAUUCAUAUUAAACGCAUACACAGUUAUUAAAUGCAGUCAUUAUUAUGAAGAAGCAUUUGAAAUUUAAAUUACCUUUUCAAUGAAUGCAGCAAAAAAUGCAGAUCUCUUCAUGUCUAGCCCACAAACUCGUUUCUUUUCAAAUGGUAACAGAAAUGAUCCCAUAUUCCAAUCUUUCCACAUUAUUUAAUCCUCUCCUUACACUGCAUCCUGGUUUCAGCCGCCAAAAACAAAUUUCUUGACAAAUAAUGGAACACCUAUAAACUAUUUCAUUUAAUUAAGUUCAUAAGUUAUGUUAGUCUCAUCCAUAUGGCAAACAAAGCCUCUUUUAACUUCAUAUAAGAUAGCUUAUAGGAGCAAUUUAUGCGCUUCUUCCCAAAAUCAUUUUGAUUGCUAUAAGUAACUGUUACCUUAUUAUGAAUCCAUUCAAACAAAUAAUGCAUUCAGAAACAAACUGAGAAGCCAAGAUUUUAGAGUGGUUAACUGAACAAAUUUACCUACAUCCACUUUUGAGUGCACAAUAGGGAUCACUAG